UACGUAGGAGACGAGCGUUGUCCGGAAUUACUGGGCGUAAAGCGCGUGUAGGCGGAUGAGCAAGUCUGCUGUGAAAGCUCCUGGCUUAACCGGGAGUGGUCGGUGGAAACUGCUCGUCUGGAGGACGGUAGAGGUAGGUAGAAUUCCCGGUGUAGUGGUGAAAUUCGUAGAUAUGGGGAGGAACACCGGUGGCGAAGGCGGCCAUCUGGACGGAUACUGACGCUGAGACGCGAAAGCGUGGGGAGCAAACAGG
rnacentral:rRNA from 1 species